rnacentral:rRNA from 1 species
UGGGGAAUUUUGGACAAUGGGCGAAAGCCUGAUCCAGCAAUGCCGCGUGUGUGAAGAAGGCCUUCGGGCUGUAAAGCACUUUUGUCCGGAAAGAAAUCCUCUGGGUUAAUACCUCGGGGGGAUGACGGUACCGGAAGAAUAAGCACCGGCUAACUACGUGCCAGCAGCCGCGGUAAUACGUAGGGUGCAAGCGUUAAUCGGAAUUACUGGGCGUAAAGCGUGCGCAGGCGGUUUUGUAAGACGGAUGUGAAAUCCCCGGGCUUAACCUGGGAACUGCAUUCGUGACUGCAAGGCUAGAGUAUGGCAGAGGGGGGUAGAAUUCCACGUGUAGCAGUGAAAUGCGUAGAGAUGUGGAGGAAUACCGAUGGCGAAGGCAGCCCCCUGGGCCAAAUACUGACGCUCAUGCACGAAAGCGUGGGGAGCAAACAGGAUUAGAUACCCUGGUAGUCCACGCCCUAAAACGAUGUCAACUAGUUGUUGGGGAUUCAUUUCCUUAGUAACGUAGCUAACGCGUGAAGUUGACCGCCUGGGGAGUACGGUCG